rnacentral:rRNA from 1 species
UUAAGCGACUAAGCGUACACGGUGGAUGCCCUGGCAGUCAGAGGCGAUGAAGGACGUGCUAAUCUGCGAAAAGCGUCGGUAAGGUGAUAUGAACCGUUAUAACCGGCGAUGUCCGAAUGGGGAAACCCAGUGCAAUUCGUUGCACUAUCGUUAACUGAAUACAUAGGUUAACGAGGCGAACCGGGGGAACUGAAACAUCUAAGUACCCCGAGGAAAAGAAAUCAACCGAGAUUCCCCCAGUAGCGGCGAGCGAACGGGGAGCAGCCCAGAGUCUGAAUCAGCUUGUGUGUUAGUGGAACGGUCUGGAAAGUCCGACGGUACAGGGUGAUAGUCCCGUACACCAAAAUGCACAGGCUGUGAACUCGAAGAGUAGGGCGGGACACGUGGUAUCCUGUCUGAAUAUGGGGGGACCAUCCUCCAAGGCUAAAUACUCCUGACUGACCGAUAGUGAACCAGUACCGUGAGGGAAAGGCGAAAAGAACCCCGGCGAGGGGAGUGAAAAAGAACCUGAAACCGUGUACGUACAAGCAGUGGGAGCACCUUCGGGUGUGACUGCGUACCUUUUGUAUAAUGGGUCAGCGACUUAUAUUCUGUAGCAAGGUUAACCGUAUAGGGGAGCCGCAGGGAAACCGAGUCUUAACUGGGCGUUAAGUUGCAGGGUAUAGACCCGAAACCCGGUGAUCUAGCCAUGGGCAGGUUGAAGGUUGGGUAACACUAACUGGAGGACCGAACCGACUAAUGUUGAAAAAUUAGCGGAUGACUUGUGGCUGGGGGUGAAAGGCCAAUCAAACCGGGAGAUAGCUGGUUCUCCCCGAAAGCUAUUUAGGUAGCGCCUCGUGAACUCAUCUUCGGGGGUAGAGCACUGUUUCGGCUAGGGGGUCAUCCCGACUUACCAACCCGAUGCAAACUACGAAUACCGAAGAAUGUUAUCACGGGAGACACACGGCGGGUGCUAACGUCCGUCGUGAAGAGGGAAACAACCCAGACCGCCAGCUAAGGUCCCAAAGUCAUGGUUAAGUGGGAAACGAUGUGGGAAGGCACAGACAGCCAGGAUGUUGGCUUAGAAGCAGCCAUCAUUUAAAGAAAGCGUAAUAGCUCACUGGUCGAGUCGGCCUGCGCGGAAGAUGUAACGGGGCUAAACCAUGCACCGAAGCUGCGGCAGCGACACUAUGUGUUGUUGGGUAGGGGAGCGUUCUGUAAGCCUGCGAAGGUGUGCUGUGAGGCAUGCUGGAGGUAUCAGAAGUGCGAAUGCUGACAUAAGUAACGAUAAAGCGGGUGAAAAGCCCGCUCGCCGGAAGACCAAGGGUUCCUGUCCAACGUUAAUCGGGGCAGGGUGAGUCGACCCCUAAGGCGAGGCCGAAAGGCGUAGUCGAUGGGAAACAGGUUAAUAUUCCUGUACUUGGUGUUACUGCGAAGGGGGGACGGAGAAGGCUAUGUUAGCCGGGCGACGGUUGUCCCGGUUUAAGCAUGUAGGCUGAUUGUCCAGGCAAAUCCGGAUAAUCAAGGCUGAGGUGUGAUGACGAGGUACUACGGUGCUGAAGUAACAAAUGCCCUGCUUCCAGGAAAAGCCUCUAAGCAUCAGGUAACAUCAAAUCGUACCCCAAACCGACACAGGUGGUCAGGUAGAGAAUACCAAGGCGCUUGAGAGAACUCGGGUGAAGGAACUAGGCAAAAUGGUGCCGUAACUUCGGGAGAAGGCACGCUGGUGUGUAGGUGAAGUCCCUGCGGAUGGAGCUGAGACCAGUCGAAGAUACCAGCUGGCUGCAACUGUUUAUUAAAAACACAGCACUGUGCAAACACGAAAGUGGACGUAUACGGUGUGACGCCUGCCCGGUGCCGGAAGGUUAAUUGAUGGGGUUAUCCGUAAGGAGAAGCUCUUGAUCGAAGCCCCGGUAAACGGCGGCCGUAACUAUAACGGUCCUAAGGUAGCGAAAUUCCUUGUCGGGUAAGUUCCGACCUGCACGAAUGGCGUAAUGAUGGCCAGGCUGUCUCCACCCGAGACUCAGUGAAAUUGAACUCGCUGUGAAGAUGCAGUGUACCCGCGGCAAGACGGAAAGACCCCGUGAACCUUUACUAUAGCUUGACACUGAACAUUGAGCCUUGAUGUGUAGGAUAGGUGGGAGGCUUUGAAGCGUGGACGCCAGUCUGCGUGGAGCCAACCUUGAAAUACCACCCUUUAAUGUUUGAUGUUCUAACGUUGGCCCCUUACCGGGGUUGCGGACAGUGUCUGGUGGGUAGUUUGACUGGGGCGGUCUCCUCCCAAAGCGUAACGGAGGAGCACGAAGGUUAGCUAAUCCUGGUCGGACAUCAGGAGGUUAGUGCAAUGGCAUAAGCUAGCUUGACUGCGAGCGUGACGGCGCGAGCAGGUGCGAAAGCAGGUCAUAGUGAUCCGGUGGUUCUGAAUGGAAGGGCCAUCGCUCAACGGAUAAAAGGUACUCCGGGGAUAACAGGCUGAUACCGCCCAAGAGUUCAUAUCGACGGCGGUGUUUGGCACCUCGAUGUCGGCUCAUCACAUCCUGGGGCUGAAGUAGGUCCCAAGGGUAUGGCUGUUCGCCAUUUAAAGUGGUACGCGAGCUGGGUUUAGAACGUCGUGAGACAGUUCGGUCCCUAUCUGCCGUGGGCGCUGGAGAAUUGAGGGGGGCUGCUCCUAGUACGAGAGGACCGGAGUGGACGCAUCACUGGUGUUCGGGUUGUCAUGCCAAUGGCACUGCCCGGUAGCUAAAUGCGGAAGAGAUAAGUGCUGAAAGCAUCUAAGCACGAAACUUGCCCCGAGAUGAGUUCUCCCUGAGACUUUAAGUCUCCUGAAGGAACGUUGAAGACGACGACGUUGAUAGGCCGGGUGUGUAAGCGCAGCGAUGCGUUGAGCUAACCGGUACUAAUGAACCGUGAGGCUUAACCUU